AUAAGAUAAUACUUAUGAAAUGACCUUUGUUGGAGGAAGAGUGGCCUAAAUUUCGAUAUCAAAGUUUACGCAUGCUUAAGAUUGGAGGAUGAACUCAAUAUGACACUGCAAGAUGAAAGCCAUCGUCCUUCGUCUGAAUAAACUCAUUCGGUACAAUUGAGAUCAAGCUCAAUGAAAGGAAGCAAGCAUACUGAAUUGCUUGACAAGAGCUAGAUCUUAUCGUUUUGUUGAUGUUGCUCGAUGAAAGCUCACUUCAGCUGGUCUCCACAGGGAUUAAUCAUAUAUCAACAAGAAAGAAAGCUAUUUUUUUUUUAAAAUCCGGUAUCCAGUUUUUAGGAGCUCACUAAUCACAAGAUGGACGGUUCAGCUCCACAUUCUGCCCAUCAAGUAAAUCGGAAAGUGAUUGUGAUUGUUAGUCCUAAGCGACCAGUUACCUAUGUUUGUAAUCCCACUAAAAGAAAAUGAUCUACAGUACAUUAUAGCUAAGAUUUAAACCGUAAAUAUUCGAUUAACGGUUGGAGUAACCGUUGCACUAAAGUCCGGGGACAACUGGAAAGCAAGCAAUAGCUAAUAUAGCUGCUGGAGAUGAUGUAGUUGUCAUACAUCUUUUUGAGUUUUUUUUUUUAACUCUUGUAAUCAGUAUUUUGCCUCUU